UACGGAGGGGGCUAGCGUUGUUCGGAAUUACUGGGCGUAAAGCGCACGUAGGCGGCUUUGUAAGUUAGAGGUGAAAGCCCGGGGCUCAACUCCGGAAUUGCCUUUAAGACUGCAUCGCUUGAACACGGGAGAGGUGAGUGGAAUUCCGAGUGUAGAGGUGAAAUUCGUAGAUAUUCGGAAGAACACCAGUGGCGAAGGCGGCUCACUGGACCGAUACUGACGCUGAGGCGCGAAAGCGUGGGGAGCAAACAGG
rnacentral:rRNA from 1 species